rnacentral:rRNA from 1 species
CGAGUCGAUCGGGUCAGACCCGAGGCGCACUGCUCAGUAACACGUGGAGAAUCUGCCCUUAGGUGAGGAAUAACCUCGGGAAACUGAGAAUAAUACCUCAUAGGUUAUGGAUGCUGGAAUGCUUCAUAGCCAAAAGCCCCGGCGCCUAAGGAUGACUCUGCGGACUAUCAGGUAGUAGUCAGGGUAACGACCUGACUAGCCUACGACGGAUACGGGGUGUGAGAGCACUACCCCGGAGAUGGAUUCUGAGACACGAAUCCAGGCCCUACGGGGUGCAGCAGGCGCGAAACUUCCGCAAUGCUCGCCAGAGUGACGGAGGGAUUCCAAGUGCCUAUGCUAUGCGUAGGCUGUUUUUAUGUCUAAAUAACAUGGAGAGUAAGAGCUGGGUAAGACGGGUGCCAGCCGCCGCGGUAAUACCUGCAGCUCGAGUGGUAACCGCUAUUAUUGGGCCUAAAGCGUCCGUAGCCGGUUUGGUAAAUAUCUGGGUAAAUCGUGAGGCUU